GAUGAACGCUGGCGGCGUGCCUAAUACAUGCCAGUCGAGCGAACAGACGAGGAGCUUGCUCCUCUGACGUUAGCGGCUGACGGGUGAGUAACACGUGGAUAACCUACCUAUAAGACUGGGAUAACUUCGGGAAACCGGAGCUAAUACCGGAUAAUAUAUUGAACCGCAUGGUUCAAUAGUGAAAGACGGCUUUGCUGUCACUUAUAGAUGGAUCCGCGCCGCAUUAGCUAGUUGGUAAGGUAACGGCUUACCAAGGCGACGAUGCGUAGCCGACCUGAGAGGGUGUUCGGCCACACUGGAACUGAGACACGGUCCAGACUCCUACGGGAGGCAGCAGUAGGGAAUCUUCCGCAAUGGGCGAAAGCCUGACGGAGCAACGCCGCGUGAGUGAUGAAGGUCUUCGGAUCGUAAAACUCUGUUAUUAGGGAAGAACAAAUGUGUAAGUAACUAUGCACGUCUUGACGGUACCUAAUCAGAAAGCCACGGCUAACUACGUG
rnacentral:rRNA from 1 species